AGCAGCCGCGGUAAUUCCAGCUCCAAUAGCGUAUAUUAAAGUUGUUGCAGUUAAAAAGCUCGUAGUUGAAUUUCGGGGUUAGUAGGUUGGUCAUGCCUCUGGUAUGUACUGGUCUCACUGAUUCCUCCUUCCUGAUGAGCCGUAAUGCCAUUAAUUUGGUGUUGCGGGGAAUUUGGACUGUUACUUUGAAAAAUUAGAGUGUUUAAAGCAAGCUAACGCUUGAAUACAUUAGCAUGGAAUAAUGAAAUAGGACGUUCGAUCCUAUUUUGUUGGUUUCUAGGAUUGACGUAAUGAUUAAUAGGGAUAGUUGGGGGCAUUAGUAUUCAAUUGUCAGAGGUGAAAUUCUUGGAUUUAUUGAAGACUAACUACUGCGAAAGCAUUUGCCAAGGAUGUUUUCAUUAAUCAAGAACGAAAGUUAGGGGAUCGAAGACGAUCAGAUACCGUCGUAGUCUUAACCAUAAACUAUGCCGACUAGGGAUCGGAUGAUGUUAAUUUUUUAAUGUACUCAUUCGGCGUACCC
rnacentral:rRNA from 1 species